rnacentral:piRNA from 2 species
UAAAAAGGAAUUUAGAACUGGUGCA